rnacentral:rRNA from 1 species
AGAGCGAACGCUGGCGGCAGGCCUAACACAUGCAAGUCGAGCGCCCGUAGCAAUACGGGAGCGGCAGACGGGAUAGUAACACGUGGGAACGCGCCCUUCGGUUCGGAAUAACUCAGGGAAACUUGAGCUAAUACCGGAUACGCCCUUACGGGGAAAGAUUUAUUGCCGAAGGAACGGCCCGCGUCCGAUUAGCUAGUUGGUGAGGUAAUGGCUCACCAAGGCGACGAUCGGUAGCUGGUCUGAGAGGAUGACCAGCAUCACUGGGACUGAGACACGGCCCAGACUCCUACGGGAGGCAGCAGUGGGGAAUAUUGGACAAUGGGCGCAAGCCUGAUCCAGCCAUGCCGCGUGGAUGAUGAAGGCCUUAGGGUUGUAAAGUCCUUUAACGGGAGAUAAUGACGGUACCCGUAGAAUAAGCCCCGGCUAACUUCGCGCCAGCAGCCGC